rnacentral:rRNA from 1 species
GACGAACGCUGGCGGCGUGCCUAAUACAUGCAAGUUGAGCGCUGAAGGUUGGUACUUGUACCAACUGGAUGAGCAGCGAACGGGUGAGUAACGCGUGGGGAAUCUGCCUUUGAGCGGGGGACAACAUUUGGAAACGAAUGCUAAUACCGCAUAAAAACUUCAAACACAAGUUUUAAGUUUGAAAGAUGCAAUUGCAUCACUCAAAGAUGAUCCCGCGUUGUAUUAGCUAGUUGGUGAGGUAAAGGCUCACCAAGGCGAUGAUACAUAGCCGACCUGAGAGGAUGGUCGGCCACAUUGGGACUGAGACACGGCCCAAACGCCUACGGGAGGCAGCAGUAGGGAAUCUUCGGCAAUGGACGAAAGUCUGACCGAGCAACGCCGCGGGAGUGAAGAAGGUUGUCGGAUCGUAAAACUCUGUUGGUAGAGAAGAACGUUGGUGAGAGUGGAAAGCUCAUCAAGUGACGGUAACUACCCAGAAAGGGACGGCUAACUACGUG